CUUCAUGAAAAAUAAAAGCCUAGAAUCACUUUUGCAUUCUGCUUCUCAACAACGAUUGAAUCAUCCUUUAAGUAGAGUCAGAGUCAUUAUGUACUUCUCAGGUUCUGUCAGUGUGUCUCACAGCGAUAUUUAAAUUUAGUCUUCUCGAUCCCAUCAUGACACCUACAGAGUCUGAAGAAGAGGAGGAUGUUUAUGAAAACAUGGAGACAGAAAGCUAGAAACCAUAAAGUGAACACUGACCUCAUAAUUGGUGGAAGCUCCUACUGUGAGGAUUCUAUCAUCGUUGUUAUAGUAUUAGCAAACACUAAUAGGUUUUACGUGACAGAAACCCUAUUCAAACUGACUUAACAAAAAGGACAGUUUACGACAAAUGGUCCUGUGAUUGCAUGAGAUGGGAAUGUGCCAGCGCCUUAGGAGGAAUCAGAACCAGACGCUCAAAUGGUACUAAAAUCCUGGAAGGUGGGUCUACUUUGGCCCCUAUCCAUUGACAUCUCAGUGCUUUGGUGAGGACAGUUCAUCCAUGGAAUAUUUCAGAGAAGAGAAUCAAUAACUGCACAAGGAAUCACAUUCUGAUGCGGGUCUUCUUCAAAGACCUGAUGAGAAACCUCUGGCCCUCUUGCUGCACUGUACAAACCUUGAUGUGUUUCUCUGCUGGCCAUACUGAGCUGAUGGUCCCAAUGUCAAUCAAUGUUAGUGAUACUUAGCAAACAUUUGAUCUCAUAGUUUAAGUCUUUUCUCCCACUUAUAAUAUAACAUUAUAAUGAAGAGUAUUAAAAUCAGAGUGAUGCGCUGUGAAUCCUAUUUUCUCCUUCAUUCAUUUCCUAUGUGUCCCUGAGAAAGAAAUGUAACCUUACUAAGCCUUUGUAUUCUAACCUAUAAAAUGGGCUUAAUAAUAGUUCUUAUUUCAUAGAGCUGCAAAGAUAAAAUGCUAACUGAUUAUGAUGAUGACAACAAGGACAAAGGAGAGGGUAGUAAAGCUAGAUAGGUUCAGGUGUGUGUAAGCAUGUAUGCAAACAUUAAUGCCUGAUAUGAAUGAGUGCAUCUCCUGAAACCCAUUGAGCGUUUGUUAAUUGUUUCAUUGUAAUAGCCUCAGGGAAAAAGAUAAACACAGUGGGUGCUUAAAAUCCUGUAGAGAUGCUUCAUUCUAUCAAAAUUAAAUUACUUCCUAGUUUGAAUGUAAACAAAUUUCUUUCAUUUUCUCCUGUCAUUUCCUAGAUUUUGCAGUUCUCUUACACUUCCUUGUUUUUCC
ensembl:lncRNA